rnacentral:tRNA from 1 species
GGAGGGCCGAGCAGAGAUCAUGCUACGAACUGCGCACGGAGAAGCCCUGGCGAGAUAACGUAGGACCCGGGUUCAAUUCCCGGCAGCUCCACCA